CCAAUAGCGUAUAUUAAAGUUGUUGCAGUUAAAAAGCUCGUAGUUGAAUUUCGGAAUCAAUAUGUUGGUCGUGCCAUUGGUACGUACUGGCAUUAUUGGUUUCUACCUUCUGAAGAACCUCGAUGUCAUUAAUUUGGUGUCUUGGGGAAUCGGGCCUGUUACUUUGAAAAAAUUAGAGUGUUUAAAGCAGGCUCGCGCUUGAAUACAUUAGCAUGGAAUAAUGAAAUAGGACGUUUGAUUCUAUUUUGUUGGUUUCUAGGAUCGACGUAAUGAUUAAUAGGGAUAGUUGGGGGCAUUAGUAUUCAAUUGUCAGAGGUGAAAUUCUUGGAUUUAUUGAAGACUAACUACUGCGAAAGCAUUUGCCAAGGAUGUUUUCAUUAAUCAAGAACGAAAGUUAGGGGAUCGAAGACGAUCAGAUACCGUCGUAGUCUUAACCAUAAACUAUGCCGACUAGGGAUCGGAUGAUGUUAAUUUUUUAAUGACUCAUUCGGCGCCUUACG
rnacentral:rRNA from 1 species